rnacentral:rRNA from 1 species
GGGGAUAACGGCUGGAAACGGUCGCUAAUACCGCAUGAUGUGUUCGGAUGGCAUCAUCUGAACAUCAAAGAUUUAUCGCUGAAAGAUGGGCUCGCGUCUGAUUAGAUAGUUGGUGGGGUAACGGCCUACCAAGUCGACGAUCAGUAGCCGGACUGAGAGGUUGAACGGCCACAUUGAGACUGACAUACGGCCCACACUCCUACGGAAGGCAGCAGUGGGGAAUAUUGCACAAUGGGGGAAACCCUGAUGCAGCAACGCCGCGUGAAGGAUGACGGUUUUCGGAUUGUAAACUUCUUUUCUUAGUGACGAAGACAGUGACGGUAGCUAAGGAAUAAGCAUCGGCUAACUACGUGCCAGCAGCCGCGGUAAUACGUAUGAUGCAAGCGUUAUCCGGAUUUACUGAGUGUGAAGGGAGCGUAGGCGGGAAGCCAAGUCAGCUGUGAAAACUACGGGCUUAACCUGUAGACUGCAGUUGAAACUGGCUUUCUUGAGUGAAGUAGAGGUUGGCGGAAUUCCGAGUGUAGCGGUGAAAUGCGUAGAUAUUCGGAGGAACACCGGUGGCGAAGGCGG